rnacentral:rRNA from 1 species
AACGAACGCUGGCGGCAUGCCUAACACAUGCAAGUCGAACGAGACCUUCGGGUCUAGUGGCGCACGGGUGCGUAACGCGUGGGAACCUGCCCUUAUGUUCGGAAUAACUCCCGGAAAGGGGUGGUAAUACCGGAUACUGUCUUCGGAGGAAAGAUUUAUCGCCUUAGGAUGGGCCCGCGUUGGAUUAGCUAGUUGGUAGGGUAAUAGCCUACCAAGGCGACGAUCCAUAGCUGGUCUGAGAGGAUGAUCAGCCACACUGGGACUGAGACACGGCCCAGACUCCUACGGGAGGCAGCAGUGGGGAAUAUUGGACAAUGGGCGAAAGCCUGAUCCAGCAAUGCCGCGUGAGUGAUGAAGGCCUUAGGGUUGUAAAGCUCUUUUACCCGGGAUGAUAAUGACGGUACCGGGAGAAGAAGCCCCGGCUAACUCCGUG